ensembl:lncRNA
CCCCACUCCCAGUGGUCUGUUCUAUAAUGCCUCAAUUCGGUAUUGGUAAACACCUGUUUGAACAUGGCCUCGAAACGGCAACAGGAGUCGGGAGCGGAGAAAAGAAAGAAGAGGAAGCGUGAUGAAACUCAGGCGUCGCUUGCCGGGUCAAUGCUUAAAUAUGUUCAAGGAGGAUCUCAAGGACAGGAUGAACCAUCCAGUAGUAGUGCCAUCCCUGGACAUCAACCACCAGCCAUUGUAGACCCUGCAACAAUCCCUAGCCAAGAAGAACAAGAACCAUCAACCACCAGUUCAGGUACAGUUCCAUACACAAGUACCACUGAGAGUCCUGUCACUGAGAGACUAUCAGAAAGUGACACUGUGGAGACAUGUGUGCCCCCUUCAACCGAUCCUGCUCUUUGGCCAGCUCACAUUGUAGAUGCUGAUCGUGUUGAAAUUGUGCGGAGAGGUCCUUUUAAUGUCAGCUCUGAUUUUAAUUUUCCAAAGGGGCCUGAUGGAAGAGCAUUUCACACUAGCCUUAAGUUCAAAAUUCUUCCCAAUGGAGAAAAGGUUCACCGGAGCUGGU